rnacentral:rRNA from 1 species
UGGGUGAGUAACGCGUAGGAACCUAUCGCACAGUGGGGGAUACCGCUGGGAAACCGGCGCUAAUACCGCAUGUGGUUCCCUGGUGAGAGCCGGGGGAAGAAAGCACGAUGAGUGCGCUGGGUGAGGGGCCUGCGUCCGAUUAGCUGGUUGGUGGGGUAAAGGCCUACCAAGGCGACGAUCGGUAGCUGGUCUGAGAGGACGGUCAGCCACACUGGGACUGAGACACGGCCCAG